rnacentral:rRNA from 1 species
UACGUAGGGGGCAAGCGUUGUCCGGAAUUAUUGGGCGUAAAGCGCGCGCAGGCGGUCUUUUAAGUCUGAUGUGAAAGCCCACGGCUUAACCGUGGAGGGUCAUUGGAAACUGGAGGACUUGAGUGCAGAAGAGGAGAGUGGAAUUCCACGUGUAGCGGUGAAAUGCGUAGAGAUGUGGAGAAACACCAGUGGCGAAGGCGACUCUCUGGUCUGUAACUGACGCUGAGGUGCGAAAGCGUGGGGAGCGAACAGG